rnacentral:rRNA from 1 species
AUUGAACGCUGGCGGCAGGCCUAACACAUGCAAGUCGAACGAGUGGCGGACGGGUGAGUAAUGUCUGGGAAACUGCCCGAUGGAGGGGGAUAACUACUGGAAACGGUAGCUAAUACCGCAUACCAUCGGAGGUGCCCAGAUGGGAUUGGCUAGUAGGGGGGGUAAAGGCUCACAUAGGCGACGAUCCCUAGCUGGUCUGAGAGGAUGACCAGCAACACUGGAACUGAUACACUGUCCAGACUCCUACGGUAGUCAGCAGUGGGGAAUAUUGCACAAUGGGCGCAAGCCUGCUGCAGCCAUGCCGCGUGUAUGAAGAAGGCCUUCGGUUUGUAAAGUACUUUCAGCGGGGAGGCGUUACCCGCAGAAGAAGCACCGGCUAACUCCGUGCCAGCAGCCGCGGUAAUAC